rnacentral:lncRNA from 1 species
AUGUUUUGGAUCACUGUGUGUAACUGCCAUGGCCAUUCUUUCAGCAGGAAGCCCACCUGUGGCAUCAGAAUAGCACUCCAUGCUGAUCAUCGUCAAAGUCCGGUGUUCAAUUCAGAGGCAAUGUCAAAACGAGCAAGGGAAGAGAAAGAAAGAGAAAGUGAAGAGAAACCAGCCUGGAUUGAUUUAAAGAGCAGGCCUGAAGGAACCUCUUUGAGUAUGCUUGCAUCUUUGCAGAACUGGAGCUGGCUUUCUGUAAAUGAGAUGCAAAAUGGAGGAAUUCAGGAAAUUCAUGUGGCAGUUUCAGCGCUGCGCAGGACUGCAAGUUUGAUCCCAGAGGCACCUUGAAGAUGCUUUUCUGCUGUGAAACCCGGGUCUCAGAAGCACAUUAAGAAGUUAAGUAACUCACAAAGAGCUGAAACCUAGGAGCUGUCAAGGGCUUUCUAUUUUAAAUGACAUUUAUCUUCAUCUUGUGAAGGUAUCACCACAUUCCGUUUAUUUAUCUAUGUGAAGAAAGGCAGUAAUUUUUCUUCUGUUCAACCUGUGGACCUACUAGGUUCAUUAGCUAUUUUAUUUUUUGUUUGUUUUCUAUGCUUCUUUGAAACUGCUGUUUCAUACAUUGCAGAAGGUGGGGGGGGGGGUUGUAGAAGCACAGAAAGGGGUGGUUGCACAAUCAUUUAUUCCUUAGUGAAAUAUCAUUUGAAUGCUUUGGAAUUGCCCAAGCUCUCCUGAAUUCCCAAGUCUUUCUGUAUGGCAUGUUGCAGUCUGACCACAGUGGCCAAGGAGCAGAAUAUAAAUAGAGAGCUUCCUUGUACUGGGACCUGAUGAUCUCACCACUGUUUUCUAUUUUACAUAUUAAAUUCAAGAUAUUGCAAAAUAAUUCAGUUUACCAGAUAACAGAUUUUAGCCCAAAUGUGUGAUAUCUUCAUAUAUAGCAGCAAUCAGACCUUUCUUAAGUCAUUCAUUUGAUACUCAAAAGGGGAUUUAUACUUAAAUUUCUACCUGCACUCCUGAAUGAAGUGCAUCAGAAUCCACAGUUCAUGGGAUUUAAAUGGACUGCCAUGCUGUAGUGUAAAUGCUAAAUCAUGACCUAAACCAGUGAUUGAGCACCUGGUGGGAAGGCAGGGGCAGGCAACACAGAGGAGCUCAGAUGCAUGCAAAAAACCUGAGUGACUAGAAGGGGUGGAGCCAGGAUGCAGCCCUCAUUUAAGGGUUGGCAGCAGAGGUAAGAGUAUCUCACUGGGGAUCUGUGCCUACCUGAGGACUUUCAUAGAAUUGCAAGGUUGGAAAGGACCUACAAGAUCAUCUAGUCUAACCGUGCUCCCAUUCCCAAAGCUAGAGCAAACCA